UGGAGUGGGUGGCCAUGCCCUCCUCCGUAGAUUCUUCCCGGCCCAGGGAUUGAACCCAUAUCUCCUGCAACUCCUGCAUCAUCAGGUGGAUUCUUUGCCACUGAGCCACGUGGGAGGACCUAGCUACUCUAUAUUCUCCUUAGUUUUGACAGCAACAGUUAUGUUCAGGAGACUAUGCUAGGACAACCAAGAUGAAACAGAUAAGAAAACUCCCCUCAGAAAACUUGUUGCUUUAGAAGACAAUGCAUGUACUCACUCAAGGAAAUAACACUAUUAUGUAAAAGUUAAUAAUGAAGUUGGAGAUGUUUAGAACACAAGAUUCAUGUUGGAUUAUCCAACAGAGGAACUCUGUAACAUCAAAGUCUUAUUUUGGGGGAAAUUCCUUAGAAGUAGGGGGAGAAAAUGGCCAUCUUAGUUUUUUCAGAGAAAUGUUUCUAGAAGUACCCUGAGGAGGAAAUUUUAGACAAGAAAGGGAUUGUUUAUCCAUUCUAAAGUUGUAAAUUUUCUGAAAUGAUUUGCAUGCCAGGAGAGAGAAUUCUCCUGAAAAGAGAGCAACAGUAAAGCCAGGCAUGGGAACCAUAGCAGGUACUGUGUAUGUGUCCUUUGCAGGAAAGGAAGCCCACAGAUCAUCUCUUCUGCCUUUAUGUCUUUUUAGGAGAGAAGUUGGACAGCUUCUAGGCCAGUAGAGUGGGGUUACUGGUGUAUUUGGAACAUUGCAUGGAGAUUUUGUGCGGACCUUCUGGAGACCUUGUGAUGAUUCCUUCAACCUGCUGCAGAGUUCUGAGCACAGCAAAGACAUGUUACAUAACUCGGAGUUUCAACAAACACCUGGAAAUCAGGCUGUGUGUAUUGCUCAGAUGAGACCAGACAUGAAGAGAUUGGAAGUGACAAGUGUUGUCACUUCUGUCUCUGACAGCAGGCAAGUGGCACACUGUAUAUACAAGGUCUGAUACCAUGCUCUCAAGAUGAGAAAAAAAGGAAAAGGUAAGUGAAAAAUAACAUUUCAGAGAGAGCUAGCUGGGGAAAUAAUGGCAAAUUACACAUGAUUUAGCUUUGCUCUUGGCUUUUAUAAAGACUCAAGAACUAUGAACUGAGCAGUUGAGCCCUAAUUAAGUCUCCUCUUGAUGUCUGCACUGCACACCCAGCUC
ensembl:lncRNA